rnacentral:rRNA from 1 species
CGUCAAAUCAUCAUGCCCCUUAUGACCUGGGCUACACACGUGCUACAAUGGACGGUACAAAGAGUCGCUAACUCGCGAGAGUACGCUAAUCUCAUAAAACCGUUCUCAGUUCGGAUUGUAGGCUGCAACUCGCCUACAUGAAGCCGGAAUCGCUAGUAAUCGCGGAUCAGCAUGCCGCGGUGAAUACGUUCCCGGGCCUU